AGAGUUUGAUCAUGGCUCAGAUUGAACGCUGGCGGCAUGCCUUACACAUGCAAGUCGAACGGCAGCGCGGGGCAACCUGGCGGCGAGUGGCGAACGGGUGAGUAAUAUAUCGGAACGUACCCUGGAGUGGGGGAUAACGUAGCGAAAGUUACGCUAAUACCGCAUACGAUCUAAGGAUGAAAGUGGGGGAUCGCAAGACCUCAUGCUCCUGGAGCGGCCGAUAUCUGAUUAGCUAGUUGGUGGGGUAAAGGCCUACCAAGGCAUCGAUCAGUAGCUGGUCUGAGAGGACGACCAGCCACACUGGAACUGAGACACGGUCCAGACUCCUACGGGAGGCAGCAGUGGGGAAUUUUGGACAAUGGGCGCAAGCCUGAUCCAGCAAUGCCGCGUGAGUGAAGAAGGCCUUCGGGUUGUAAAGCUCUUUUGUCAGGGAAGAAACGGUGGGGGCUAAUAUCCCUUGCUAAUGACGGUACCUGAAGAAUAAGCACCGGCUAACUACGUGCCAGCAGCCGCGGUAAUACGUAGGGUGCAAGCGUUAAUCGGAAUUACUGGGCGUAAAGCGUGCGCAGGCGGUUUUGUAAGACUGUCGUGAAAUCCCCGGGCUCAACCUGGGAAUGGCGAUGGUGACUGCAAGGCUAGAGUUUGGCAGAGGGGGGUAGAAUUCCACGUAGCAGUGAAAUGCGUAGAUAUGUGGAGGAACACCGAUGGCGAAGGCAGCCCCCUGGGUCAAAACUGACGCUCAUGCACGAAAGCGUGGGGAGCAAACAGGAUUAGAUACCCUAGUAGUCC
rnacentral:rRNA from 1 species